GUUUUAUCCUCUAGGACAGCAGUGAAGUUUUCACUGUUAAGGACUAACACAUGUGUAGAAGUUCGGACUGCCCUCAAGCCAUCCUACUGCCUUUGCAGGCCAACUUCGCAGCUUUGAGUUUCCUUUCCUAGUCACAAGGAUGCAGUGAGAAAUGGAACCGAUGUCUUAGAGGCAUCCUGCAUUCUAAUCUGGACUGGACUAAAGGGACUGGACUAUUUGCUGGUCUCUUUGUGCUGGGUGGACAUUUGUUGUUUUCCUGCCUAUCUUGAAGUGAUACCAUCCUUCUCAGUCCAAGCUUCUCAGUCCAGGCACCUCUGGUGGUAGAACUCCACCUAGCCAUGCAGGGUAGGCUGGUGACUCACACCUGGCCAGUCAUACUUCCAGCCUGAGUGACUGAUUCAGAAAUGGACAUGUGACCCAAUCAAAGCCAGAGAUGCAGAAACUCUUGCUGGGACUUUCGGAGAAAAGACUCACUCUCAACUCCUCAAAGUUGGGUGGAUGUGAGGCCAGAGUUGCUGUUGCUAUCUUGCUACCAUCAGAUGACAGCCUGAGAAUGGAGUUUACCCAAAGGGAAUGGAGACAACAGAUGAAGUGCAAGAAGCCAGGACAAGAUAUCCAUGUUUGCACCCUGGUCAAAUGUUACCUGAAGCCACUUUAGCUCCUGGAGUUUGCAGUUACAUGAGGGAACAAACUUCAUUUUUGCUUAUGUCAGAAUUUUUGUUACUUAUAAUGGAAUCAAUCCAAAGUGGUACAGUGCUUUUUAUCCCAUAAGCUACAUAGUGAUCUCUUUUUCCUUUCUUUGCAGUAUCUAAACCAUUCAUUCUUUAAAUCCCACUUAAAUGCUACCUCAUCCAUGAAACAAUCUCUGCUUUCUUGUGCCAUAAGAACUCUCUCCCUUCUUUGAAAUCCCAGAGCAUUUUACAUGUUGGUCUCUUAUGGAACAUCCCUUACUAUAGUGUACUAAUUUUCUUUAGAUACAUGGCUUGUCCCCUGUAAGCUCUUGGCAGCUUCAGGGCAGGACUUUUGUUGUGAUUAUCUUUUUAUCACAGGACACACAAGGUGCUUUGAAUAAAAUGAGGUCUCAAUUCAUAUUUAUGGAAUGAACAGAUGAAUCAAUGAAAUGGACUUUGUCUCUGAGCAGGCAAUACACUCUGGGAAGAAGCCAGUUUUGCUCCAUAGGAGGAAGAGAACAAACUGCUGCUGGAGAUGCUGCAACAGUACAAGCUGUCAGGUCAAGAAGAGGCAGAGAAAGAGAUGAAGUCUGACAAGGGUAAAACCAGGGAGAGCGAGCACCAAGCACAAGAAAGCUGUAAAGACCCACAAGGCAAACAUUUAGAAAACCCACUCGCCCGUGGCUUCCUUUAUCCCAGAGUGUCAUUAGUGUCUGUGGUCAGCUACUUGUACUACCUCUGAAUUAGCUACCAUUUACUAAGUGCUUAGUACAUGCCAGGCACUGUGCUAAACAUUUCAUAUGCAUUGCCUCAUUUACUCUAUAAAAUAACAGUGAGUUGAAUAUUAUUUCUGUCAUUUUACAGAUGAAGAAACUGGGGUACAGAAAGAUGAGUAACUUGCUAAAAGUCACAAAGAUAGUUAAGUGUUAGAUCAGGAUUUAUGCUGGGAUUUUAGGCAGUGUGCAAAAAGUUUUUUUUUUAAAAAAAAGGCACAGGAAGGAGAGAAUGUGAAGAUGCUAUGGACUGAAUGUUUGUUUUCCUCCAAAAUUCAUAGAUUGAAACCCUCAUCUCCAAGGUGAUGGUAUUUGGAGAUGGAGCCUUUGGGAGGUAAUUAGGUCAUAAGGGUGGAGCCCUCAUGAUAGGAUUAGCACCCUUAUAAGAAGAAACAGAAGAGACAUUUUUCUCUUUUUCUCUCAUCGUGAACCAGGAGAGCUGUCACCAGUAACCUGACCAUGAUGGCAUCUUGAUCUCAGACUUUCCAGCCUCCAGAGCUUGAGAAAUAAAUGUCUGUUCUUUAAGUUAUCUAGUCUAUUUUGCUUUUUUAUAGCAGCCUGAACUGACUAAAAAGGAGAUCGAUAGGGUGAACAGUGAGAGAGAAAUGAGGAAAGUGUAGAGUCCUGUAACAAUGAGGAAAGGGCCCCACGUGGGGGAGAACAAUUGUUCUGAAAAAUGUCUAAUUACAGACAAUCCACUAGCACAUCUUGUUUCCAAAUACCUUGCUGUGCCUGUAGCCCGAGCAGCACCACCUUGUUCUGCAUAGCCCCUCUAGUACCACCCUACAAAACUUCCCUCCAGCCCCUGGUUCUUUGCAGAUAGCCUCUUCUCUGCUGUGCUGCCCACUGCACUGUUUCAAUGUAUUUUCAUACUUUCUCUAAUAAAUCUGCCUUUCUUUACC
rnacentral:lncRNA from 10 species